AGAGUGAACGCUGGCGGUAGGCCUAACACAUGCAAGUCGAACGGCAGCACAGUGGUAGCAAUACCAUGGGUGGCGAGUGGCGGACGGGUGAGGAAUACAUCGGAAUCUACCUUUUCGUGGGGGAUAACGUAGGGAAACUUACGCUAAUACCGCAUACGCCCUUCGGGGGAAAGCCGGGGAUCGCAAGACCUGGCGCGGAUAGAUGAGCCGAUGUCGGAUUAGCUAGUUGGUGAGGUAAUGGCUCACCAAGGCGACGAUCCGUAGCUGGUCUGAGAGGAUGAUCAGCCACACUGGAACUGAGACACGGUCCAGACUCCUACGGGAGGCAGCAGUGGGGAAUAUUGGACAAUGGGCGCAAGCCUGAUCCAGCCAUACCGCGUGGGUGAAGAAGGCCUUCGGUUGUAAAGCCCUUUUGUUGGAAAGAAAAGCAAUCGGUUAAUACCGGUUGUUCUGACGGUACCCAAAGAAUAAGCACCGGCUAACUUCGUAGCCAGCAGCCGCGGUAAU
rnacentral:rRNA from 1 species